UACGAGUGCCCCGAGCGUUAUCCGGAAUCAUUGGGCGUAAAGGGUGUGUGAGGUGGCAGUGUUAGUCAGUUGUUAAAACCUGGGGCUCAACCCCAGAUGUGCGACUGAAACGGCACAGCUAGAGGAUGGCAGGGAUGUAUGGGAACUCAUGGAGUAGGGGUGAAAUCCGUUGAUAUCAUGGGGAACACCAAAAGCGAAGGCAGUACAUUGGGCCACUCCUGACACUGAAACACGAAGCGUGGGUAGC
rnacentral:rRNA from 1 species